GCCGAAGUGGCGGAAUUGGUAGACGCGCUAGGUUCAGGGUCUAGUGGGGGUUCCCCCGUGGGAGUUCAAAUCUCCCCUUCGGCACCA
rnacentral:tRNA from 1 species